UUUUCUUCUGCUGGCUACACCAAUCAUUUGGUUACCGCCAUACUCUUUGGUUCAGACAAUCUAACCCUAUGGAUACAAACAACACAACCCUUGGUCCAAACAAUACUUUCACAACAUCCACACAACACUUUCCUUAUUUCAAAACUCUAUUACAAUUCAAGGAACUCUUUCCUUCUUUUAUUCAAUUCAAACAAAUCUUU
rnacentral:lncRNA from 1 species